rnacentral:lncRNA from 1 species
AGGCUCUGCCGAUGAUGAUUUGAAGGAGAUAGAGGACGCCAACCAGAUCCGUCUGCGCGCCAUAUCGGCGAUCUAGGCACUGUUGAACUCAUGAGCUCCUCAUCAGCAAUAGAUCCUCGCUUCUCUGCUUUCCAGCCUUCCUGACAUUUAGUCUAGCCGAUAGGACUGUUAUCGGCAUCUUUUGAAACAUUAAGUCCAGCCCC